rnacentral:rRNA from 1 species
GCAAGUCGCACGAGAACGCUUCAGCUUGCUGAAGUAAGUAAAGUGGCGCACGGGUGAGUAACGCGUGGGUAAUCUACCCUUGAAUUGGGGAUAACAUCGCGAAAGUGAUGCUAAUACCGAAUGACAUCCUGAGAACUUAUGUUUUCAGGAUCAAAGAUGGCCUCUACAUGUAAGCUAUUGUUUGGGGAUGAGCCCGCGUACCAUUAGCUUGUUGGUAGGGUAAUGGCCUACCAAGGCUACGAUGGUUAGCUGGUCUGAGAGGAUGAUC